rnacentral:misc_RNA from 1 species
AAGUCGUAACAAGGUUUCCGUAGGUGAACCUGCGGAAGGAUCAUUACCGAGUUCUCCUGCUCUGCAGGAACUCCACACUUGAUUACUAGUCAUGCGUUCGCUUCGGCGAGCACGGCCUGGAAAUCAGCCAUUUGACCUCUCACGUCGAUGCGUGCUCGCCGGAGUUUCAUACUCUACAUUAUGUGUCGUCAGAGAAUCAAAAAUCUAAAAAA